rnacentral:rRNA from 1 species
UACGGGGGAUGCGAGCGUUAUCCGGAUUUAUUGGGUUUAAAGGGUGCGUAGGCGGCGCUUCAGGUCAGCGGUGAAAUACCGGGGCUCAACCCCGGGGCUGCCGUUGAAACCGGAGCGCUAGAAUUCCGAUGCCGUCGGAGGAAUGUGUGGUGUAGCGGUGAAAUGCAUAGAUAUCGCGCAGAACUCCGAUUGCGAAGGCAGCAUGCCGGCUCCACACUGACGCUGAGGCACGAAAGCGUGGGUAUCGAACAGG